UAUGUGGUGGUGCUGCUGGUCACGCGCGCGCCAUCUGCUCAUAACUGAGGGUCGCAGGUUCAAACCCUGCCCCCAAACCA
rnacentral:tRNA from 1 species